CCUACGGGAGGCAGCAGUGGGGGAUAUUGCACAAUGGGGGAAACCCUGAUGCAGCGACGCCGCGUGAGUGAAGAAGUAUUUCGGUAUGUAAAGCUCUAUCAGCAGGGAAGAAAAUGACAGUUCCUGACCAAGAAGCCCCGGCUAACUACGUGCCAGAAGCCGCCGUAAAACGUAGGGGGCAAGCGUUAUCCGGAUUUACUGGGUGGAAAGGGAGCGUAGACGGUGAUGGAAGUCAGGAGUGAAAGCCCGGGGCCCAACCCCGGGACUGCUUUUGAAACUGUGUAACUGGAGUACAGGAGGGGCAGGCGGAAUUCCUGGUGUAGCGGUGAAAUGCGUAGAUAUCAGGAGGAACACCGGCGGCGAAGGCGGCCUGCUGGACUGAAACUGACGUUGAGGCUCGAAAGCGUGGGGAGCAAACAGGAUUAGAUACCCGGGUAGUC
rnacentral:rRNA from 1 species